rnacentral:sRNA from 1 species
UUAACAGCACUCAACACUACAGUCCUCUUUCUGUUCACACCACAGGUGCAGCCUAGGUAGCAGCAGCGCAAGCCUUCCCACAGCACCCCCCGCCAAUGUGCCUGAACCCUGAUCUGGAGGGACCAAUCCCAGGGAGGAGAGGAUAGCCCCUCUCUCCAUGGCCCUUCAGUUCUUUGCUCUG